ensembl:lncRNA
AUACAUUUUUCAAAAAAUGCCUCUCUGUGCAAAAUGGGUUUAAACACAUAAACAGCUGUGGGAUACUGUUUGUCCGUGAUUUGAACCGGGGGAACAAAUUACGGCAGGAUCAGCCUGAUAUUAUUUGUAUCCCACUGUAACUUUACUGCAUAAAGAGCUAACAUGUCCAAAAUGUCAGGAGUAGUUAUUUAUUACAAGAAGUGUUUGUGAACUAAAAAUCAAGAAUGUGGGAUACUGUUUGUCCGUGAUUUGGAGAGCCCAGCGCUGCUCCCGACGCAGGGAAACUAAUUUUGCAGGGGAGACCUACCUUGGCACUUGUGCAGGUGAAGCCAAAGGGAAGAUAUGCUUCACCAUAUUUUCCUGUCUUUGGCUUGGAAGGAAGUUGGUUUGGAAACAUAUUUGGCGAUGCUUCAUCUCCUGCUUUGCGUUUAUGUGGGAGCCCCGUCAAAAACCUGUCCACAGUGUCCAAGCGCUCUUUUUCUUUUUUCUUUUCAUACCGCCCACACUUUGGGAACCUCUGCCUUAGUGCAAGUAGUCCAUUGCGCUGGGAGACACUUAAAAGAAGUGGAGGAUCUAUCGGUUUUGUGAGGAAAAUUAAAGAUGAGAGGGAUCGACUCGCACGGAAUUAUGGGAUGUGGACGGACAUUUGCAAGUCAGCGAAAACUCAGUGAGUCUGAAGCGUGUUGCGGGUCAAGCGAGGACUGAGACGCUGUCUUGAUAGCCCACAUGAGCCAAUCAGAGGCCAGGAUUCUGCGCUGUAACAGAUGUUUACAGCUGGAGAACAUGUGGCAGCACUCACAGUCAGCGCUACACUGCUUCUUCAGUCUCUGCGAGGACUUAAAGGAAAAAAGCUUCCUUCUGGCCUUUCUGGAUGUUUGCACGGACCCUGACGCCCACCUGCUGACGACACUCGCUCAGGCCCAAGUGGAGUUUUAAAGUGUGGCAACAACACGGAGGUAGCAGACUCAGCGCUGACAGACAUUUCUUCAUGGCUGAAUCAUUUUUCCUUCUUAAUGAUGCUCGUUUGUUUCCUCGUUAGAUUCCCACA